UCAUGGAGUUUGCAGUAUAUUGAACAGGUAGACCACCAAGAAAUUAUAAUAAGGUACAUUCAGUCUUCUCAUUAUCAGUAAUUCUUUAUUAGGUUUCUAGGUUCUGGGAGGAGGGUGUUACAGAAUGCUGAGCUGGGAAGCUUCAAUCAUGAGAUUUUAAUAUUUAUCAGUAAAGGGUUUAAAAAGGUAGAGAAAAACUGAGUUAAAGGAAUUAACUGCCACAGACAAAAAUAAAGUGGUCCCUUGGCCUACUUCUUGGAAUCUCUACUGCAAUAAUUGCUAUGUGUGUGGCAACUUCCUGGAGGUUACUUAUAUAAAAAUGUAUCCUGAAGUAAUUCAAAUGUGUCAUGCUAAUGCUCUGUCCACUUCUUACUAAAAUGUAUGGGUUAAAAUUAACAGUAAUACUUUCAUCUGGAUACUGAAUCAAACUAAGUAGAAAUUACUCAUUUCUAAGUUGUAAUGUAUUGUAUAUAUAAAUGUAACAUUGUUAUAAUACAAUUAUAUGUAUACAAUGUAAAAAUGUAAUAUAUUGUGUAUAUGUACAAAUGUACAUUUGUUGUGCAAUAUUGUGCAAUAUAAUUGUGAUAUUUUCAAGCCCUAUAUGAAUAAGGCUGUUAUUUGCAUGACUGUAUCCUAUGAAUAGUUAUGGAAAUGAAUAAAUAAGCUUUUUAGAAACAGUU
rnacentral:lncRNA from 1 species